AAUUAUCCUGUACUAGCCAAGAUGGCUCGGGACUUUCUGGCUAUUCCAUUAUCAUCUGUGGCUUCUGAAUCAACAUUUAGUAUAGCCAGCAUGAUAAUUGAUAAACAUGGCAGUUCUCUAAAUCCAGAAACAGCUGAAGGACUAAUAUGCUCAAAAGAUUGGCUAAAAGAAUACUUGUCCGAUGACGACGACGACACUGAUGAUGAUUGACUCCACGGGUUUCAGCCAUAGAUUUAUGCUCAAAAAAAGGACACAGGAGAGCAAAGAUGGUGUUUGGGAAUUUCAACCAUAAUGGUGCAUUUGCUGAUAGCCUGCAUGUCAUUUCUCACUGGUGUUUAGAUGAUGGCUGGACAGAAAAUUAUAGUCCAGUAUUAUCAUGUAACUUGAGUCACCAUUUAUCGAAAACUCACCAUCUGUAUGUCCGUAUGCAGUGUAAUCUAUAGACUUGAGUUCAGUUGAAAAGUUCUUGUUUUGUUAUGUUCCA